GAUGAACGCUGGCGGCGUGCCUAAUACAUGCAAGUCGAGCGAACAGACGAGGAGCUUGCUCCUCUGACGUUAGCGGCGGACGGGUGAGUAACACGUGGAUAACCUACCUAUAAGACUGGGAUAACUUCGGGAGACCGGAGCUAAUACCGGAUAAUAUAUUGAACCGCAUGGUUCAAUAGUGAAAGACGGUUUUGCUGUCACUUAUAGAUGGAUCAGCGCCGCAUUAGCUAGUUGGUAAGGUAACGGCUUACCAAGGCAACGAUGCGUAGCCGACCUGAGAGGGUGAUCGGCCACACUGGAACUGAGACACGGUCCAGACUCCUACGGGAGGCAGCAGUAGGGAAUCUUCCGCAAUGGGCGAAAGCCUGACGGAGCAACGCCGCGUGAGUGAUGAAGGUCUUCGGAUCGUAAAACUCUGUUAUUAGGGAAGAACAAAUGUGUAAGUAACUAUGCACGUCUUGACGGUACCUAAUCAGAAAGCCACGGCUAACUACGUG
rnacentral:rRNA from 1 species